GCUCUCAAGAAGUUAGCGGCGGACGGGUGAGUAACACGUGGGUAACCUGCCCAUAAGACUGGGAUAACUCCGGGAAACCGGGGCUAAUACCGGAUAACAUUUUGAACUGCAUGGUUCGAAAUUGAAAGGCGGCUUCGGCUGUCACUUAUGGAUGGACCCGCGUCGCAUUAGCUAGUUGGUGAGGUAACGGCUCACCAAGGCAACGAUGCGUAGCCGACCUGAGAGGGUGAUCGGCCACACUGGGACUGAGACACGGCCCAGACUCCUACGGGAGGCAGCAGUAGGGAAUCUUCCGCAAUGGACGAAAGUCUGACGGAGCAACGCCGCGUGAGUGAUGAAGGCUUUCGGGUCGUAAAACUCUGUUGUUAGGGAAGAACAAGUGCUAGUUGAAUAAGCUGGCACCUUGACGGUACCUAACCAGAAAGCCACGGCUAACUACGUGCCAGCAGCCGCGGUAAUACGUAGGUGGCAAGCGUUAUCCGGAAUUAUUGGGCGUAAAGCGCGCGCAGGUGGUUUCUUAAGUCUGAUGUG
rnacentral:rRNA from 2 species